rnacentral:ribozyme from 1 species
AAUUUGAGAGAUCAGAAGAUAGGAUUUCCAUUUCGAGGAGCAAUAAAAGCAGUGUAAAGCAGCGGUAUUUGCGCAGCUUGAGCGCCUGAUCCUGAUCCAAUACUUUCUCUCA